rnacentral:rRNA from 2 species
UACGUAGGGUGCGAGCGUUGUCCGGAAUUAUUGGGCGUAAAGGGCUCGUAGGCGGUCUGUCGCGUCGGGAGUGAAAUCUCAGGGCUUAACCCUGAGCCUGCUUCCGAUACGGGCAGACUAGAGGUAUGCAGGGGAGAACGGAAUUCCUGGUGUAGCGGUGAAAUGCGCAGAUAUCAGGAGGAACACCGGUGGCGAAGGCGGUUCUCUGGGCAUUACCUGACGCUGAGGAGCGAAAGUGUGGGGAGCGAACAGG